CAAAGAAACAGCACAAAAGAGCGAAGCGGAAUUUAAAACAAAUGGCAUCUACAUACUGCGAAGGUAAGAGUUCAUGGCCAGAGCUUCUUGGAGCAGAGGGGAAGGUCGCUGCUGCAAAGAUCGAGAGAGAAAAUCCUCUUGUUAGAGCUAAAAUGGUGCCUGAAGGAUCAGCAGUCAUCCAAAACUUCCGGUGUGAUAGGGUUUGGGUUUGGGUUGAUAAAAAUAACACUGUCUAUAGAGUCCCUAUGAUUGGUUAAGACAAAAAAAUAAAAAAAAAAACUCCAAUAUUUUCUUGGUUAUUUGUUAAAUGCUUUGGCAUCACUGACUGUCUGGAAUAAAAUUUAAAUAAGAAGGCUCCGAUCUCCAUGCAUUCAUUGCUUGAUAAAAUUGUAUUUUUCCAUGUACCGUCAUGAAAUUUAAUAGCAAUAAAUAUGUAUACAUUUAUACCCUAA